UUAGGUGGCUAAGGCGGUGGGGUUCCACCUCUUCCCAUUCCGAACAGAGAAGUUAAGCCCGCCAGCGCCGAUGGUACUGCACCGCAAUGUGGGAGAGUAGGUCGCCGCCGAUU
rnacentral:rRNA from 1 species